GACAGAGGGUGUAAACGUUGUUCGGAAUUACUGGGCGUAAAGCGUGUGUAGGCGGCUACAUAAGUCGGAUGUGAAAGCCCCGGGCUCAACCCGGGAAGUGCACUCGAUACUGCGUAGCUUGAGUCUCGGAGAGGUUGGUGGAAUUCUCGGUGUAGAGGUGAAAUUCGUAGAUAUCGAGAGGAACACCGGUGGCGAAGGCGGCCAACUGGACGAAGACUGACGCUGAGACACGAAAGCGUGGGGAGCAAACAGG
rnacentral:rRNA from 1 species